UACGUAGGGUGCAAGCGUUGUCCGGAAUUAUUGGGCGUAAAGAGCUCGUAGGCGGUCUGUCGCGUCUGCUGUGAAAACUCGGGGCUUAACCCCGGGCCUGCAGUGGGUACGGGCAGACUAGAGUGCGGUAGGGGAGACUGGAAUUCCUGGUGUAGCGGUGAAAUGCGCAGAUAUCAGGAGGAACACCCGUGGCGAAGGCGGCCAACUGGACCGACAUUGACACUGAGGCGCGAAAGCGUGGGGAUCAAACAGG
rnacentral:rRNA from 1 species